ensembl:lncRNA
GAUAAAUCUGUGUUUAAGAAGCUCCAGUUUAGAGACUUUCAUGAGAAGCAGAGAGAAAAGAGAGACGGAGCGGACUGAUGGUGGAAAUUAGAUGGAAUAAAAUGUUUCUUCUAUUGAUGCUGGUGCUUCAGUUCAGCGGAGCUCUGACCAGACAGCUUGACCUCUUCUCCACUGUCAGAGAUGGAGAUAAAGCCACUUUGUCUUGUGAGAAUGUAAUGGAUGAUCAUCAUAACUGUGACAAAACCACCUGGGUCUUCAGUAAUUCAAAAAUACCAUUAGCAGUAGAGCUGGUUACUCUUGGACAAAUUAAGAAUAAGACCAACAAAGACAGACUGAAUGUUACAGCAAAUUGUUCUCUGGUUAUAAAGAAAGUUACAGUUGAGGAUGCUGGUCAUUACUCCUGCAGACAAUAUAUAUCAGAGAAAGAAUUUCAAGAUGCUUGGGUUGAUCUGUCUGUUGUUACUGUGACUGAACAUAAAGACACUGAUCUGGUGACUCUAAACUGCUCUGUGACGACAAACAGACAAUGCAGACACACAGUGAAGUGGCUUUUUAAGGGUCAAGCUGUGGAUAAUGACAACCCAAACAUAAAGACAUCACAGUCUUCCUGCUCUGUUACUGUGAGCUUUGUGAAUAAUUUUUGGGGAUCAUCAAUACCAUAUCAUGACUGGUUUAAAUGUAGUGUAUCUACAGAGACUAAAAAAGAGCCACUGACCUUCAGUCUUCGUCCAUCAGGUGAGGACACAAAAACAACAACAACAACAACUGCAAAUAACACAAAAGGUGAUACAACCACAACAGGAUCUUCAUUCAGUGAUACACCAAAUCUCUGGUGGCUGUACAUUGUUGUGCCUGUAGUUGCAGUAGCACUUUUGAUAAUUGCUGUGAAAGUCACCAGAUCGAGGAGAACUAAAGGGAAAAACACACAAAGAAAUGGCAAUGUUGCCCUGACUUCAGAUCCUGCAGUGGCUCAGUCUGCACCUGAAAUCAGUCAGGACAUGGCUGAUCCUGAGGAUGGUGUUUCCUACGCCUCCAUCAGCUACACCAAGAAAGCCAACAGUAAAGCCAAGAUUCGGAGUAAAAAAGAUGACGAUGACACAGUAACCUACUCCACAGUGAAGGCUUCCUCACCUGAUCCCAGCAGCCUCUAUGCCACCAUCUACAAUCCCAACUCAGGUCCUUAGAUCACCGCUUCUGUUCAGAGCUUCUAAUCUAAAGUGUUGGGUCAUAACUACAGUGGCACAGUUUAAAAAGCAGAAGUCAAACCACAACAUUUUUACUGAAGGUUGCUUAAAAUGCUUCAUGAACUGUGUGAAUGUUGGGUUUAUUUUGGGUUUAUUUUUCAAGGUUUAGCAUAUAGUUUAUUUUCAAAAUAUAUAUUGACUGUAUUCUUCUGCAAAUGUAAUAAUUUAUCUACAUGAAGAUUAGUUUGAUAGCCUAUAACCUAAGUUUGAUAACCUAUCAUUAUCUGAUAUGCAGUACUUUGGUCAUUUCUGAAAUGAAUCAUUGUGAAAACGUUUGUAAGAAGGAUGUCAUGCAUCUAAGAAUGUGAGAAAUAGCCACCGAUAAUUAAUUUGAGGAAGUGGCUGAUUCUCUUUAAGAACCUACUAGUUUAGAGACGUUUGAGGACAAAAGAGGAAAGACAGACAGAAACGCAGAUGGUUAAAUUCAGAUGGAUUAAAAUGUCAUUAUUUCAUGUGGUGGCUAAUGGCAGAUGUGAUUUUUUGGAAAUACUUACAUUUGUCCCUUAAAAAUGGCCUUUGCACAAGGAUCAAAUGUGAACAUUGUUAGGCUCAUGUAUUAUGUUGCUGUGAUGCCACCUGUAGGUGAAAUGUCAGUUUACACACCAAGAGCAACCAAAUCAGUAAUUUUAUUUAGAUGGAACCUCAUCAUGGGCCUAUGUUAUUUAAUAAUGAAGUUUACAAAAUAGAGAGACUUUAUAGAAUAGAAAUGAUUACUUAAAAGCCAAGGAAAAAGAACUGUUUUUAGUUUAUGUCUAAAAAUUGCAACAUUUUGGGCAGAUCUGAGUUCUAAGGGGAACUGGUUGCAGCAGCAGCAGGCAGAAAAAUGACUACACACUUAUUACCACUUCAUCAUGUCUGAUCUGAACUCACCAGUCCCUGCAGAUCCGUGAGAGCUUCUGGGCCUUAGCAAACAAUUCUUCAAUAUAUUUCAGGCCCAGAUCAAACAGAAACUAGUGGACAAAAGGUAUUGCCUUAAGUUCAGCUCUAUAUUUAACUGGAAGCAAGUGAAGUGACCUGGGUAUUGAAGUAGUGUGUUCUCCUUUGUUGGUGUUUGUCGGUAUUCUAGCAGCAGCAUUUCCAAAGGUUUCAAAUGCCUAAAGGUCUUAUUUUGGAGGCCAUUAAGAAGUGCAUUAUGGUAGUCCAUUCUACAGAUAAUGAAAGCAUGAAUGGGAUUUUCUAAAUCUUAUUUAAUUUAGUUACAGCUUUGAUGUUUAGAUCUUAAUCAAUGACUACACCAAGACUGUUGUCUUUUUUAUUACUGCCCUGCACUCGUGGUAAGCUCUGAGAGCCAGGAGAGCUGAUAUGUCUACCAGUCAUUUUAAACUUUGCAGUUUUGUGUUAAAGAAGUAUUUAGGUCUGUUUUUAUUAUAUAAGCAAAAUACAUUUAAAUGUAACAGUAAAAGUUACCAGCUUGUUGGAAAAAUUACCUUUAUCAAUGUUAUAGUUUUCUAUGUUGUGUUAAAGAGAUUUUAAGUGAUGCAUUAUAAUUAGCCAGCUGCAACAGAGCUCACUUUAUGUAGUAUUUAUAUUCCUAGUUUAAUUUACUGGAUAACAAUGCUCUGUGUUUUAUUUGCUCUUUGUGUGGUUAUCUGAAAUUCAUGUUGGAGCUAAAGUCAGAGAAAAUCAGAGUUUUAGAAACGGGUUAAAAUUAUUAGUUAAUCUUAAAUAUAAGUAGCAAGUCUAUAUUUAUCAAAGUUACUUGUGAGGUGGCAACUUCACCUCUAUAUGUGUGUGUGUAUGUGUGUGUGUGCAUUACUUGUAAUUGAUGCAAUUAUUAAAGUCAUAUCAAGUUUACCACAGCUGUGUGACCGGUGG